AGAGCUUGCUCUCAAGAAGUUAGCGGCGGACGGGUGAGUAACACGUGGGUAACCUGCCCAUAAGACUGGGAUAACUCCGGGAAACCGGGGCUAAUACCGGAUAACAUUUUGAACUGCAUGGUUCGAAAUUGAAAGGCGGCUUCGGCUGUCACUUAUGG
rnacentral:rRNA from 1 species